rnacentral:rRNA from 1 species
UACAGAGGUCCCAAGCGUUGUUCGGAUUCAUUGGGCGUAAAGGGUGCGUAGGCGGCGCGGUAAGUCGGGUGUGAAAUCUUGGAGCUUAACUCCGAAACUGCAUUCGAUACUGCCGUGCUUGAGGACUGGAGAGGAGACUGGAAUUCCCGGUGUAGCGGUGAAAUGCGCAGAUAUCGGGAGGAACACCAGUAGCGAAGGCGACACUCUGAGCCGGUACUGACGCUGAGGAGCGAAAGCGUGGGGAGCAAACAGG